UUCGGUGGCAACAGCGAGGGGGAAACACCCGUUCCCAUCCCGAACACGGAAGUUAAGCCCCUUAGCGCCGAUGGUACUGCACGGGUAGCUGUGUGGGAGAGUAGGACGCCGCCGGAU
rnacentral:rRNA from 1 species